UUUUUUCCUCGUGCUUAUCUUCCUUCCAAAGUGUCUGGGCACUUUCAUUUCCAGACAGAGAGAGAGAGCGAACAGAGAGCAGGAGGGAUUCAACAUCCAUUUCUGCACCACGGAGUAACUUUUGCUAUAAGGCUACAAAUACAAGACUUUUCACCCGGGAACACGGAGCUGACGAAAGAGAGUUGGAAAUGCAAAGGAACGUCUUCAUCUGCGCGGGUCAAGUCAGAUCAUGCUCCUUAAAAUAAUGGCCUCUAAUUCUUCUCCCAAUCGGCUGAGCUUCCUGGUAAUGAUUCCUUUGCUGGGCUGAGCGAAGGAAUUGAAAUCAGCUUUAAAAGGCAGCGGAUUUGCUAUUGCUGUGUUCUACAAUCCAGAGAGCCAGCUGGCCAUCUUCUCAAUGAAAUGAUGGUGCCAUCGUGACUCCCAGACCUGUGCAAUAUGUCUGUGGGUGAGAUUCAGCUGGAGACACGACAGUUCAGAAGGUGACCUCACCCAGCUUCUCUGCAUUCAUGGAAAACUGGGUCCCCCAGCCCCCCAGAUCAU